rnacentral:rRNA from 1 species
AGUGCAUGUGGCGGAUGCCUUGGCGAUCACAGGCGAAGAAAGACGCGGCAGCCUGCGAAAAGCUGCGGGGAGCUGGCAAACGAGCUUUGAUCCGCAGAUAUCUGAAUGGGGGAACCCACACCGCAAGGUGUAUCCGUGACUGAAUACAUAGGUUACGGAGGCGAACGAGGAGAACUGAAACAUCUAAGUAUCCUCAGGAAAAGAAAUCAACCGAGAUUCCGGCAGUAGCGGCGAGCGAACCCGGAGGAGCCUAGCUUUUGAUAGUACGAACUUUAGCCGAAAGGUCCUGGAAAGGCCUGCUAUAGUGGGUGAUAGCCCCGUAGGCGAAAGAGUUCGUAUGGUACUAAGGAAGCGAGAAGUAGAGCGGGACACGUGGAAUCCUGUUCGAAGAUGGGGGGACCAUCCUCCAAGGCUAAAUACUCGUGAUCGACCGAUAGUGAACCAGUACCGUGAGGGAAAGGCGAAAAGAACCCCGGGAGGGGAGUGAAAUAGAACCUGAAACCGUGUGCCUACAAAUAGUCAGAGCCCGUUAAUGGGUGAUGGCGUGCCUUUUGUAGAAUGAACCGGCGAGUUACGAUAUGAUGCGAGGUUAAGUUGAAGAGACGGAGCCGUAGGGAAACCGAGUCUUAAUAGGGCGCAUUAGUAUCAUGUCGUAGACCCGAAACCAUGUGACCUACCCAUGAGCAGGUUGAAGGUGAGGUAAAACUCACUGGAGGACCGAACCAGGGCACGUUGAAAAGUGCUUGGAUGACUUGUGGGUAGCGGAGAAAUUCCAAACGAACUUGGAGAUAGCUGGUUCUCUCCGAAAUAGCUUUAGGGCUAGCGUCGAUGUUAAGUCUCUUGGAGGUAGAGCACUGUUUGGGUGAGGGGUCCAUCCCGGAUUACCAAUCUCAGAUAAACUCCGAAUGCCAACGAGAUAUAAUCGGCAGUCAGACUGCGAGUGCUAAGAUCCGUAGUCGAAAGGGAAACAGCCCAGACCACCAGCUAAGGUCCCAAAAUAUAUGUUAAGUGGAAAAGGAUGUGGGGUUGCACAGACAACUAGGAUGUUAGCUUAGAAGCAGCUAUUCAUUCAAAGAGUGCGUAAUAGCUCACUAGUCGAGUGACCCUGCGCCGAAAAUGUACCGGGGCUAAAACAUAUUACCGAAGCUGUGGAUACCUUUAUAGGUAUGGUAGGAGAGCGUUCUAUGUGCGAAGAAGGUGUACCGUGAGGAGUGCUGGAGCGCAUAGAAGUGAGAAUGCCGGUAUGAGUAGCGAAAGACAGGUGAGAAUCCUGUCCACCGUAAGACUAAGGUUUCCAGGGGAAGGCUCGUCCGCCCUGGGUUAGUCGGGACCUAAGGAGAGACCGAAAGGUGUAUCCGAUGGACAACAGGUUGAUAUUCCUGUACUAGAGUAUAUAGUGAUGGAGGGACGCAGUAGGCUAACUAAACCAGACGAUUGGAAGUGUCUGGCCAAGCAGUGAGGUGUGAUAUGAGUCAAAUGCUUAUAUCUAUAACAUUGAGCUGUGAUGGGGAGCGAAGUUUAGUAGCGAAGUUAGUGAUGUCACACUGCCGAGAAAAGCUUCUAGCGUUAAUUAUACUCUACCCGUACCGCAAACCGACACAGGUAGUCGAGGCGAGUAGCCUCAGGUGAGCGAGAGAACUCUCGUUAAGGAACUCGGCAAAAUGGCCCCGUAACUUCGGGAGAAGGGGCGCUGACUUAUGGUCAGCCGCAGUGAAUAGGCCCAAGCAACUGUUUAUCAAAAACACAGCUCUCUGCUAAAUCGUAAGAUGAUGUAUAGGGGGUGACGCCUGCCCGGUGCUGGAAGGUUAAGAGGAGUGCUUAGCAAUAGCGAAGGUAUGAAUUGAAGCCCCAGUAAACGGCGGCCGUAACUAUAACGGUCCUAAGGUAGCGAAAUUCCUUGUCGGGUAAGUUCCGACCCGCACGAAAGGCGUAAUGAUUUGAGCGCUGUCUCGACAAUGCAUCCGGUGAAAUUGAAGUACCAGUGAAGAUGCUGGUUACCUGCGCCAGGACGGAAAGACCCCAUGGAGCUUUACUCUAGCUUGAUACUGGGAUUCGGUAUUGCAUGUACAGGAUAGGUGGGAGACGAAGAGGUGAUGACGCCAGUUGUCACGGAGUCGAUGUUGGGAUACCACCCCUGCAGUACUGGGUUUCUAACCUGCGCCCGUGACCCGGGCGGGGGACAAUGUCAGGCGGGGAGUUUGACUGGGGCGGUCGCCUCCGAAAGGGUAUCGGAGGCGCUCAAAGGUUCCCUCAGAAUGGUUGGAAACCAUUCGAAGAGUGCAAAGGCAGAAGGGAGCUUGACUGCGACACCGACGGGUGGAGCAGGUACGAAAGUAGGACUUAGUGAUCCGGUGGUAUAAAGUGGGAUUGCCAUCGCUCAACGGAUAAAAGCUACCCUGGGGAUAACAGGCUUAUCACUCCCAAGAGUUCACAUCGACGGAGUGGUUUGGCACCUCGAUGUCGGCUCAUCGCAUCCUGGGGCUGUAGUAGGUCCCAAGGGUUGGGCUGUUCGCCCAUUAAAGCGGUACGCGAGCUGGGUUCAGAACGUCGUGAGACAGUUCGGUCCCUAUCCGGCGUGGGCGUAGGAUAUCUGAGAGGAGCUGUCCUUAGUACGAGAGGACCGGGAUGGACGGACCGCUGGUGUACCGGUUAGACUGCCAAGUCUACGGCCGGGUAGCCAAGUCCGGAAGGGAUAAACGCUGAAGGCAUCUAAGCGUGAAGCCCCCCUCAAGAUGAGAUAUCCCAUUCGAAAGAAGUAAACCCCCUUGA